UACGGAGGGUGCAAACGUUGCUCGGAAUCAUUGGGCGUAAAGCGCACGUAGGCGGUCUGUUAAGUCGGAUGUGAAAGCCCCGGGCUCAACCCGGGAAGUGCAUACGAAACUGGCGGACUUGAAUAUGGAAGAGGGUCGCGGAAUUCCCGGUGUAGAGGUGAAAUUCGUAGAUAUCGGGAGGAACACCGGUGGCGAAGGCGGCGACCUGGGUAGAUACUGACGCUGAGGCGCGAAAGCGUGGGGAGCAAACAGG
rnacentral:rRNA from 1 species